rnacentral:tRNA from 1 species
GGGCGAUUAGCUCAGUUGGCUAGAGCACCAGCUCGACACGCUGGGGGUCGCAGGUUCAAGUCCUGCAUCGCCCA